rnacentral:lncRNA from 10 species
AUGCUGGAGAGUAAAACCUUAGACAUGUGCAAGACCCUUUAUUUCAGAGUUAAUUUUCGGAAAAACAAGCCUGGUUUCCUUGGAGGAGUCCUUGCUGGGAACGAGUCCGUCCUCAGGUGAUGCUGCCUUGCCAGGCCACAUCCCUGGUAUUGCAGCCACUCUGCCAGAUCGGUGGCAGUUGGAGCAGCACCUUCUGCCUGCCCCACCGUUCCUGCCAGGCUCAGCUGAAGUUUUGCCCUACAGUUGGGGGAAGUAAGUAUCAGACGUGUGUGCGAGGCUUGCCAGGAAACUGCUACAAUUUUCAAGAGCGCCUUUGAAAGCUCCCACCAACUGCCGCAGUCUGCAUCAGCCAGGCAUGUGUACCCACACAGCCCGCCCAGCACCCUGUGUGAAGCCCAUCUCCACUUCCAGGUCUGGCUGUGUCCA